rnacentral:rRNA from 1 species
UCCAACCCAUGUGAACAUACCUAUUGUUGCUUCGGCGGGAUUGCCCCGGGCGCCUCGUGUGCCCCGGAUCAGGCGCCCGCCUAGGAACUUGAACUCUUGUUUUAUUUUGAAUCUUCUGAGUAGUUUUUACAAAUAAAUAAAAACUUUCAACAACGGAUCUCUUGGUUCUGGCAUCGAUGAAGAACGCAGCGAAAUGCGAUAAGUAAUGUGAAUUGCAGAAUUCAGUGAAUCAUCGAAUCUUUGAACGCACAUUGCGCCCGCCAGUAUUCUGGCGGGCAUGCCUGUCUGAGCGUCAUUUCAACCCUCAUGCCCCUAGGGCGUGGUGUUGGGGAUCGGCCAAAGCCCGCGAGGGACGGCCGGCCCCUAAAUCUAGUGGCGGACCCGUCGUGGCCUCCCCUGCGAAGUAGUGAUAUUCCGCAUCGGAGAGUGACGAGCCCCUGCCGUUAAACCCCCAACUUUCCAAGGUUGACCUCAGAUCAGGUAGGAAUACCCGCUGAACUUAA